UCUUAAGUUGUUUGGUGACCAACGUGAGAACCAGAAGAAGACGCCCCACCAACACAGUUAUAAAAAAUAAGAAAUUAGGAAGGCAGGGUGGGGAAUACAUGGACGACAGUCCCAGUGACACUUCGCCCUCCGCCCCGCUGCUGCAGCUGCCCUCUGGCCCUGCCCGACCUCUGCUACCCACCGGCACUGCCCGGCCCGGCCCAGCCGCUGCUCCCCGCCCGCCGCUGCUGACCUCUGGCCCGGGUGCCGCCGCCCUCUGGCCCGGCCCGACCGCUGGUGCCCUCUGGCCAGGACCCGGCCGCUGGUGCCCUACGACCCGGCUGCUGCCCUCCGUCCAACAGCCCAGACGUCUUGAUUCGCUCAUUCAGUGUGAGGUAGUAGAUUGUAUAGUUUAAGGGUAGUGAUUUUACCCGUUUCAGAAGAUAACUAAACAGUCUACUGCCUUCCUUGAGGAGUGAUAUUGCUUCAGGUCUACUAAUGGAUCGUUCGGUGAAUGAUCUGAUUAACGUUGGGUUCACAUCAUACUUGUGAGAUGAGGUGAUCAAUGCUUUGGAGAAAGAUGUGCGUGUAAGAUUUUUGAUUUCCUAUUUGAGGAGACCGGUCUCCUCCCAAUCGGUGGUCGUUUCACCUCAUUGUGAACGUCAGUUAAAACAUUAACGGGUCGGCUUUGCAUGAUGGUAACGUAUUGUAUGAAACUGCUUUGGUGUUUAUUUUUGCAAUUUCUUAAAUAAAAUAUUGAUGAACUAUAA